rnacentral:tRNA from 1 species
GUCCCUAUCGUCUAGAGGCCUAGGACAUCGCCCUUNGCGGUAACCGGGGUUCGAAUCCCCGUAGGGACGCCA